UUUACAAGCUGAGGAACAAUUGAAGAGAAUUUACUAUAUAUUACAGGCGGUUUGAUGAUACCGUUUGAUUUGUUAUCAGUAGCUUAUGUUCCUUUUAAUUCAGAGAGUCUUUCGUAGGCGUUACAAAGUGGUAUAUCCUGUAGCCAUUUGUUGCAGUGUGGUUUACAGAUAUCACUAUUUUCAUCAUUUUAUUCAUUCAUUUUUUUUGUUUUCAGAUUUACGAAGUUUUAUAGGUUUUACUGCAUUCCAGUCUUAAUUAUUUAAAUGAUCAGAGCAUGUUUCUAUUCAGUCUAUCGUAUCGGUUGAACAGGGAUUAAUCACUUUCCUUUGAUUAUCUUCUGCAGUUCUGUUAGCUGGUUUCCAUUACAUGUUGACUUGUCUUGACGUUCAACGAUUCUUGCAUGGCGCUGUUCCCUGCGAGAUAUCUGCGAGUUCCCGCGAGGCCAAGCUAUUUAUCUUAUUAUCGGACUGAGAUGCGAAGAGCAAUUGUAACACACCAACGACACACUCGGUAACAAGAGCAGAUCGGCGUUUGAAAGCUGUGACAUUCCUCUCUCCGGUAGUAUCAAUUUUGGUUCAACUGGUUGAUAAAUAGCAAUGUUAUAACAGUUCUCUCCAAACAACUUUCUUGUCGAUGUUGAAAUAUGAGCAAAAAUCGUAGCGUGUUAAUCAUUCCAAAGAAGUCGUUGAAGCCGUUAGAUAUGUUCCUAACUUCCUGAAAUCAAUUGUUACGGGUGACGAAACAUGGUGCUUUCAGUACGACCCAGAAAUCAAGCGUCAAAGUGCGGAAUGGAAGUCGAAAGAGUCACCACAAGCCAAAAAAACACGGAAAGUUCCAUCAAAAAUCAAGACAAUGCUCAUUAGAUUCUUCGAUAGCAUAGAAAUUAUCCACAGGGAAUUUAUUCCAACUGGCCAAACAAUAACUGGCGCAUAUUAUCUUGAAGUUUUGAAGCGUUUGAUGACCAGAAUCCGACGUAUUCAGAUCCAGAGACCUGGUGUCUGUUGCACGAUGAUGCACCGAGUCACACCUCGCUCAUUGUUCGUCAAUUUUUGGCUCGAAAUCAAGUCCGCGUGUUGAGAAUCAUCCACCGUAUUCGCCUGAUUUGGCCCCAUGUGACUUCUCCCUAUUCCCAAAAUUGAAAUUGAAGUUGAAAGGAUGUUUUUUUUCAUGACAUUUCGACCAUCAAAAUAGCUACGACACGAGCGCUAGAGGCAAUUCCACAAAAUAAGCUAGCACACGCAUUUGAAU